AUUGAACGCUGGCGGCAGGCCUAACACAUGCAAGUCGAACGGUAACAGGAAACAGCUUGCUGUUUCGCUGACGAGUGGCGGACGGGUGAGUAAUGUCUGGGAAACUGCCUGAUGGAGGGGGAUAACUACUGGAAACGGUAGCUAAUACCGCAUAACGUCGCAAGACCAAAGAGGGGGACCCUCGGGCCUCUUGCCAUCGGAUGUGCCCAGAUGGGAUUAGCUUGUUGGUGGGGUAACGGCUCACCAAGGCGACGAUCCCUAGCUGGUCUGAGAGGAUGACCAGCCACACUGGAACUGAGACACGGUCCAGACUCCUACGGGAGGCAGCAGUGGGGAAUAUUGCACAAUGGGCGCAAGCCUGAUGCAGCCAUGGCGCGUGUAUGAAGAAGGCCUUCGGGUUGUAAAGUACUUUCAGCGGGGAGGAAGGGAGUAAAGUUAAUACCUUUGCUCAUUGACGUUACCCGCAGAAGAAGCACCGGCUAACUCCGUG
rnacentral:rRNA from 1 species